UACGAAGGGGACUAGCGUUGUUCGGAUUUACUGGGCGUAAAGCGCGCGUAGGCGGAUCGCUAAGUCAGGGGUGAAAUCCCAGGGCUCAACCCUGGAACUGCCUUUGAUACUGACGAUCUGGAGAUCGGGAGAGGUUGGUGGAAUUCCGAGUGUAGAGGUGAAAUUCGUAGAUAUUGGGAAGAACACCGAUGGCGAAGGCAGCCAUCUGGACCGACACUGACGCUGAGGCGCGAAAGCGUGGGGAGCAAACAGG
rnacentral:rRNA from 1 species